UAAGGAAGAACAACAUGACAUAGAAGUAACUUCUUGCAUGGCUGUUCGAAAAGAAAAGAAAAAACUAUAAGCGGUAACUACCGAAAGCAAUUAGUCAAACUCUAUAGGAAGUCUCGCAAAAAAAACUUUUAUAGGAAGAGAAAAGGAACAUUAUACAAUGUAAAAUUGGAUCCGUUGAAGCAGACAUUUCGCAUUUCUGAAACUGGCCUGUCUGUAGCGAACAGUAACAAAUUGGAGGCACACAAUCCAAUGAUAAAGAAUUUCACCUUAUAAUUUUGCAAGGGAAUGCUAAUAAGGGUGUUCUUCCAAUUGUUUAGUCAUAGAACGAACAUACUUGUGAGAAUAAAAGAGAUGGGGAAGCAUCUGGUUUCAGCAAUGAUUGUCUCAUCAGAUAAAAUAAACAUCACAUCUUGUAAUUGUGAACACCGAUGAAGGGUAUCCUCACAAACUCACCACCAUGUGGAGGCCUGUAUGUGAGACUACUGGUAUUUGGAAGUAUCAACUGAGAUGCUCAUCAGAGUGUGCAAUAAGAUGAAGAAAUCAUAUAUAAAUAGAUUGCAUGGGAGAGGACAGUUACAAAUUUGGUAAAUUGUUUCAAUGCAAAAGGUGUGCAGUUCUGAAUGUUAGAUUGUUAGUACUAAAAAGUAGUUUGGCCAUGUACUCCGUGGUAGAAUGCUUGUUCUUCUCAUUCAUGGAACACAGUAGGAACACUGGAAUUAUCAAAGGUAGCUUACAAACAACAAAGAAGAAGAAAAAAAAUACUCCCUCC
rnacentral:lncRNA from 1 species